GACGAACGCUGGCGGCGUGCUUAACACAUGCAAGUCGAACGGAAAGGCCCUGCUUUUGUGGGGUGCUCGAGUGGCGAACGGGUGAGUAACACGUGAGUAACCUGCCCUUGACUUUGGGAUAACUUCAGGAAACUGGGGCUAAUACCGGAUAGGAGCUCCUGCUGCAUGGUGGGGGUUGGAAAGUUUCGGCGGUUGGGGAUGGACUCGCGGCUUAUCAGCUUGUUGGUGGGGUAGUGGCUUACCAAGGCUUUGACGGGUAGCCGGCCUGAGAGGGUGACCGGCCACAUUGGGACUGAGAUACGGCCCAGACUCCUACGGUAGGCAGCAGUGGGGAAUAUUGCACAGUGGGCGGAAGCCUGAUGCAGCAACGCCGCGUGCGGGAUGACGGCCUUCGGGUUGUAAACCGCUUUCGCCUGUGACGAAGCGUGAGUGACGGUAAUGGGUAAAGAAGCACCGGCUAACUACGUG
rnacentral:rRNA from 1 species